GGGAUUAGAUUAGAGACACUUGUUUAAAAACCUCGUGGUUCUUUGGUGGAUAGGAAUAUGACACGUGUAUGGUUAUUAUCUGACACAGUCUUUCACCUUUAAAUGGAUAAAAAAGGACAAUUAGUGUAAUGAUCAAUCAAACAAAUGAAGAAAAUGGUUAAUAAUAAGCCAGGUGGUUUAGUUCCUUGUACUAGCACUUCAUGCG